AGUUUGAUCCUGGCUCAGAGCGAACGCUGGCGGCAGGCUUAACACAUGCAAGUCGAACGGGCGUAGCAAUACGUCAGUGGCAGACGGGUGAGUAACGCGUGGGAACGCACCUUUUGGUUCGGAACAACACAGGGAAACUUGUGCUAAUACCGGAUAAGCCCUUACGGGGAAAGAUUUAUCGCCGAAAGAUCGGCCCGCGUCUGAUUAGCUAGUUGGUGAGGUAACGGCUCACCAAGGCGACGAUCAGUAGCUGGUCUGAGAGGAUGAUCAGCCACAUUGGGACUGAGACACGGCCCAAACUCCUACGGGAGGCAGCAGCGGGGAAUAUUGGACAAUGGGCGCAAGCCUGAUCCAGCCAUGCCGCGUGAGUGAUGAAGGCCCUAGGGUUGUAAAGCUCUUUUGUGCGGGAAGAUAAUGACGGUACCGCAAGAAUAAGCCCCGGCUAACUUCGUG
rnacentral:rRNA from 1 species